rnacentral:rRNA from 1 species
GACGAACGCUGGCGGCGCGCCUAACACAUGCAAGUCGAGCGAUGAACAUUGAAUGAUCCCUUCGGGGCGAUUUCGAUCGGAUUAGCGGCGAACGGGUGAGUAACGCGUGAGGAACCUGCCUCUUACAACGGGAUAGCCUCGGGAAACCGGGAUUAAUACCGUAUAAGACUCCGACAUCUCCUGAUGAUGAAGUCAAAGCGUUAGCGGUAAGAGAUGGCCUCGCGUCUGAUUAGCUUGUUGGCGGGGUAGCCGCCCACCAAGGCGACGAUCAGUAACCGGCCUGAGAGGGUGAACGGUCACAUUGGAACUGAGACACGGUCCAAACUCCUACAGGAGGCAGCAGUGGGGAAUCUUGCACAAUGGGGCAACCCUGAUGCAGCGACGCCGCGUGAGCGAUGAAGGUUUUCGAAUCGUAAAGCUCAGUCCUAUGGGAAGAUAAUGACGGUACCAUGGGAGGAAGCCCCGGCUAACUACGUGCCAGCCGCCGCAGUAA